UACGGAGGGGGCUAGCGUUGUUCGGAAUUACUGGGCGUAAAGCGCACGUAGGCGGCUUUGCAAGUCAGAGGUGAAAGCCCGGGGCUCAACCCCGGAAUUGCCUUUGAGACUGCAUCGCUAGAAUUGUGGAGAGGUAAGUGGAAUUCCGAGUGUAGAGGUGAAAAUUCGUAGAUAUUCGGAAGAACACCAGUGGCGAAGGCGACUUACUGGACACAUAUUGACGCUGAGGUGCGAAAGCGUGGGGAGCAAACAGG
rnacentral:rRNA from 1 species